GUGGGGAAUCUUGCGCAAUGGGCGAAAGCCUGACGCAGCCAUGCCGCGUGAAUGAUGAAGGUCUUAGGAUUGUAAAAUUCUUUCACCGGGGACGAUAAUGACGGUACCCGGAGAAGAAGCUCCGGCUAACUUCGUGCCAGCAGCCGCGGUAAUACGAAGGGGGCUAGCGUUGCUCGGAAUUACUGGGCGUAAAGGGCGCGUAGGCGGACAGCUUAGUCAGAGGUGAAAGCCCAGGGCUCAACCUUGGAAUUGCCUUUGAUACUGGCUAUCUUGAGUAUGGAAGAGGUAUGUGGAACUCCGAGUGUAGAGGUGAAAUUCGUAGAUAUUCGGAAGAACACCAGUGGCGAAGGCGACAUACUGGUCCAUUACUGACGCUGAGGCUCGAAAGCGUGGGGAGCAAACAGGAUUAGAUACCCGAGUAGUCC
rnacentral:rRNA from 1 species